GGGUUUGGCUCCGUGGUAGAGCGCUUGCCUAGCAUGUGUGAGGCACUGGGUUCAAUUCUCAGCACUCA
rnacentral:tRNA from 1 species